GAUGAACGCUGGCGGCGUGCCUAAUACAUGCAAGUCGAGCGAACAGACGAGGAGCUUGCUCCUUCGACGUUAGCGGCGGACGGGUGAGUAACACGUAGGUAACCUACCUAUAAGACUGGGAUAACUUCGGGAAACCGGAGCUAAUACCGGAUAAUAUUUCGAAACGCAUGGUUCGAUAGUGAAAGAUGGCUUUGCUAUCACUUAUAGAUGGACCUGCGCCGUAUUAGCUAGUUGGUAAGGUAACGGCUUACCAAGGCAACGAUACGUAGCCGACCUGAGAGGGUGAUCGGCCACACUGGAACUGAGACACGGUCCAGAGUCCUACGGGAGGCAGCAGUAGGGAAUCUUCCGCAAUGGGCGAAAGCCUGACGGAGCAACGCCGCGUGAGUGAUGAAGGUCUUCGGAUCGUAAAACUCUGUUAUUAGGGAAGAACAAACGUGUAAGUAACUGUGCACGUCUUGACGGUACCUAAUCAGAAAGCCACGGCUAACUACGUG
rnacentral:rRNA from 1 species